GGGUAACGGUGCUAACCAGUGUGCUGCCCUGGUAAGAGGAGAACCACUGAGGGAACGCCUUCCGCCCACCGACGCCUCCACCGUGACCUCCACUUCUGAGAGGAAUUGCCUACAGAUCAAGUACGGAGUGUGCCUGAAUGGACAUACAGAACUCCAAGGUUCGGCCCUGCGUUGAGGGUUUUCCCAAAGGGGAGGGCCCGGCGGGCGGUGCCUCACAGCCCUCCGCCUGUGGGAGUGGCCCUUUCUACUAAGGAAGCAAGUUCUGCAUGUCCUGGUGACCCUCCACCUGUUUCAUAGAGUCUCAGGGGAGCUCGAGCCUAUCCCAGCUAUCUUAGGGGAACGGCAGGGUACACUCUCGACUGGUCACCAGUCUGUUGCAGGGCUAACACAUAGACACAGAAAACCAUUGGCACCUAUGGGCAAUUUAGAUUUUCCAAUUAGGCUAUUUCCACUAACUGCAGGUCGUUGGACUGUGGCAGGAAGCCGGAGUACAAGGAGAGAACCCACGCAAAACCGGGGAGAACAUGCCAACUCCACACAGAACGAUGGUAGAGCUGAACUCAGGACCUUCUUCCGGUUGGGUAACGGUGCUAACCUCUGUGCUGCCCUGGUGUGAGUAACCGUCUCCCAGAAAUUUGAACAAGUUCAAUUACUUUCUUUUCAAGCUGCUUACACUACAUUGACUUAUGUUUUUACACAAUCUCAGAAGAGGAGAACCACUGAGGGAACGCCUUCCGCCCACCGACGCCUCCACCGUGACCUCCACUUCUGAGAGGAAUUGCCUACAGAUCAAGUACGGAGUGUGCCUGAAUGGACAUACAGAACUCCAAGGUUCGGCCCUGCGUUGAGGGUUUUCCCAAAGGGGAGGGCCCGGCGGGCGGUGCCUCACAGCCCUCCGCCUGUGGGAGUGGCCCUUUGUACUAAGGAAGCAAGUUCUGCAUGUCCUGGUGACCCUCCACCUGUUUCAUAGGUCGUUGGACUGUGGCAGGAAGCCGGAGUACAAGGAGAGAACCCACGCAAAACCGGGGAGAACAUGCCAACUCCACACAGAACGAUGGUAGAGCUGAACUCAGGACCUUCUUCCGGUUGGGUAACGGUGCUAACCUCUGUGCUGCCCUGGUAAGAGGAGAGCCACUGAGGGAACGCCUUCCGCCCACCGACGCCUCCACCGUGACCUCCACUUCUGAGAGGAAUUGCCUACAGAUCAAGUACGGAGUGUGCCUGAAUGGACAUACAGAACUCCAAGGUUCGGCCCUGCGUUGAGGGUUUUCCCAAAGGGGAGGGCCCGGCGGGCGGUGCCUCACAGCCCUCCGCCUGUGGGAGUGGCCCUUUGUACUAAGGAAGCAAGUUCUGCAUGUCCUGGUGACCCUCCACCUGUUUCAUAGGUCGUUGGACUGUGGCAGGAAGCCGGAGUACAAGGAGAGAACCCACGCAAAACCGGGGAGAACAUGCCAACUCCACACAGAACGAUGGUAGAGCUGAACUCAGGACCUUCUUCCGUUUGGGUAACGGUGCUAACCAGUGUGCUGCCCUGGUAAGAGGAGAACCACUGAGGGAACGCCUUCCGCCCACCGACGCCUCCACCGUGACCUCCACUUCUGAGAGGAAUUGCCUACAGAUCAAGUACGGAGUGUGCCUGAAUGGACAUACAGAACUCCAAGGUUCGGCCCUGCGUUGAGGGUUUUCCCAAAGGGGAGGGCCCGGCGGGCGGUGCCUCACAGCCCUCCGCCUGUGGGAGUGGCCCUUUCUACUAAGGAAGCAAGUUCUGCAUGUCCUGGUGACCCUCCACCUGUUUCAUAGGUCGUUGGACUGUGGCAGGAAGCCGGAGUACAAGGAGAGAACCCACGCAAAACCGGGGAGAACAUGCCAGCUCCACACAGAACGAUGGUAGAGCUGAACUCAGGACCUUCUUCCGGUUGGGUAACGGUGCUAACCUCUGUGCUGCCCUGGUAAGAGGAGAACCACUGAGGGAACGCCUUCCGCCACCGACGCCUCCACCGUGACCUCCACUUCUGAGAGGAAUUGCCUACAGAUCAAGUACGGAGUGUGCCUGAAUGGACAUACAGAACUCCAAGGUUCGGCCCUGCGUUGAGGGUUUUCCCAAAGGGGAGGGCCCGGCGGGCGGUGCCUCACAGCCCUCCGCCUGUGGGAGUGGCCCUUUCUACUAAGGAAGCAAGUUCUGCAUGUCCUGGUGACCCUCCACCUGUUUCAUAGAGUCUCAGGGGAGCUCGAGCCUAUCCCAGCUAUCUUAGGGGGAGAGGCAGGGUACACUCUCGACUGGUCACCAGUCUGUUGCAGGGCUAACACAUAGACACAGAAAACCAUUGGCACCUAUGGGCAAUUUAGAUUUUCCAAUUAGGCUAUUUCCACUAACUGCAGGUCGUUGGACUGUGGCAGGAAGCCGGAGUACAAGGAGAGAACCCACGCAAAACCGGGGAGAACAUGCCAACUCCACACAGAACGAUGGUAGAGCUGAACUCAGGA